rnacentral:misc_RNA from 1 species
AACGCACAUUGCGCCCGCCAGUAUUCUGGCGGGCAUGCCUGUCCGAGCGUCAUUUCAACCCAUCAAGCUUAGCGCUUGUGUUGGAGCCCUGCGGCCGCCGCAGCCUCCUAAAAUCAGUGGCGGGCUCGCUAUCACGCUGAGUGCAGUAGUAUUCUUCUCACUCCUGUGGUGUAGCGGGUAACCAGCCGUAAAACCCCCCCAUAUUCAAAGGUUGACCUCGGAUCAGGUAGGAAUACCCGCUGAACUUAA